rnacentral:rRNA from 1 species
UACGUAGGGGGCAAGCGUUGUCCGGAUUUAUUGGGCGUAAAGAGCGUGUAGGCGGCCAUGUAGGUCCGGUGUGAAAACUCGAGGCUUAACCUCGAGAUGUCAUCGGAAACCAUUUGGCUAGAGUCCGGAAGAGGAGAGUGGAAUUCCUGGUGUAGCGGUGAAAUGCGCAGAUAUCAGGAAGAACACCAGCGGCGAAGGCGGCGCUCUGGGCCGGUACUGACACUGAGGAGCGAAAGCGUGGGUAGCAAACAGG